rnacentral:rRNA from 1 species
CCUACGGGUGGCAGCAGUGGGGAAUAUUGCACAAUGGGGGAAACCCUGAUGCAGCGACGCCGCGUGAGUGAAGAAGUAUUUCGGUAUGUAAAGCUCUAUCAGCAGGGAAGAAAAUGACGGUACCUGACUAAGAAGCCCCGGCUAACUACGGGCCAGCAGCCGCGGUAAUACGUAGGGGGCAAGCGUUAUCCGGAUUUACGGGGUGUAAAGGGAGCGUAGACGGUGAUGCAAGCAAGAAGUGAAAGCCCGGGGCUCAACUCCGGGACUGCUUUUGAAACUGUGUGACUGGAGUGCAGGAGAGGUAAGCGGAAUUCCUAGUGUAGCGGUGAAAUGCGUAGAUAUUAGGAGGAACACCAGUGGCGAAGGCGGUCUGCUGGACAGCAACUGACGCUGAGGCGCGAAAGCGUGGGGAGCAAACAGGAUUAGAUACCCUGGUAGUC